rnacentral:misc_RNA from 1 species
UGAGUGGCAUUAACUAAAUAAGUUAAAACUUUCAACAACGGAUCUCUUGGCUCUAGCAUCGAUGAAGAACACAGCGAAAUGCGAUAAGUAAUGUGAAUUGCAGAAUUCAGUGAAUCAUCGAAUCUUUGAACGUACAUUGCGCCUGGCAGUAUUCUGCCAGGCAUGCCUGUCCGAGCGUCAUUUCACCACUCAAGCUCUGCUUGGUGUUGGAGGACCCGCGUUUAGUCGCGGGCCGCCGAAAUGCAUCGGCUGUUGUAUAUACAGCUUCCCUGUGUAGUAAAUGCUUAGCUUUACACUUUGAAACUUUUAUAUAACAUGCCGGAAAAC